rnacentral:lncRNA from 1 species
CUCUCUCACCCACUCCUCCCUUGGUCCCAGUGGGUCGGAGACAGCACCUGUUAUCUCUACUAUGCAGAUGGGAACUCUGAGCCACACAGAGGUGACGUAGCACUUCAGAUACUCAAGGUAAAUACUCCUGGUACUCAAUGCGACUCAGCCGCAUUCCCUCUAGUGCAAUAGGCACAUUGCAUGCUCUUUGUACGCAGAUGCAUUGGCUGCAGAGGUUCUAGAAACCAAGACUGGGAAGCCAUUCACUGCUCUCCCUCCUGACUCAAAGGACUCUUCUCCCGAUGGCACAAAGUCAUAUGAUGGCAUUUCACAAAACCAGCUCUGACCUUACUUGAAAAGGUAGUUCAUUUAAAAAAUGCUUCAUGUAGCCAUCCCUUUGGCUGGACAAAGGCUUCUUCCUCGAUCCUCUUCUCAUACCAUCAUUAGAAGAAUAGCCUCUGUAUCUUUAUCCUUCUCUCUGGAAGAUGGUAGCCAGGCCUGCGUGCAUCUUGUUGAUGUAGUCAAUAGAGAACUCUUCUUUCCUGCCUUGAGUCAGCUCCCAGCUUCCAGAGGGUCUGGGUUCAGGGAAGUGAGUAUUGGGAUAGAAGCCACUUAACUCCAGUUCUUAGGCUUGUGCUUCGCUGUCCACCAAUGCUCUGUGGGUUCGUAGCAUACGUUGUACCCGUUUCCCCAUGUGGGUCUUCCCGAGAAAGGGAUGGUUGAGAUGGCACGUGAUUUGGGAUAAAUAUUUUUUGAAGGAAUGAAUACAUUACUGCAAGGACAAUAGUCCUUUGAGGUAAAAAUGACCUUGUCAGGAUUGAAAAAACCUGUUUCUAGCGCUCUGUACCGUUCAAGUGCAUGCGUUGUACCACGUAAUCACCAUGUGAAUUGGUCAAUUUAUGAGCUUUGCCUACUUUAGAAAACAAAGAAUCUGCCGUAGCCUCUAGCACACAGCAUGUACGAAGACCCGUAUGGACUUUGAUCUUUGUCUGUAUUGGACACUCUAUGCCAGCACCAGAAGUACCCACCAAGUAGCAGUUUCUU